GCUUGAAUGAAAGGUCGGAUGAGAGACUAGCUGUCUUUUUUUAUUAAAAGAAUUUAACUUUUAAGUGAAAAGGCUUAAAUAUACUAGUGGGACGAUAAGACCCUAUAAAAUUUAAUAUAAAUUGAAUAAAAUUUGAGGAUUUAGCCUAAUUCAAUUUUUUUUAGUUUAUAUUUCGUUGGGGAGACGAUGAUAUAAUCUUAACUGUCUUUUUUAUAUAAUAGUAAUAAUUAGAUUUUGAUCCUUUAUUAAAGAUUUUAAGAUUAAGUUACUUUAGGGAUAACAGCGUAAUUUUCUUUGAGAGUUCUUAUCGACAAGAGUAGUUGCGACCUCGAUGUUGAAUUAAAGUUACUGGCACGGUGCAGCCGCUUGCCUUGUGGGUCUGUUCGACC
rnacentral:rRNA from 1 species